rnacentral:rRNA from 1 species
GAUCCUGCCGGAGGUCAUUGCUAUUGGAGUCCGAUUUAGCCAUGCUAGUUGUACGAGUUCAGACUCGUAGCAGAUAGCUCAGUAACACGUGGCCAAACUACCCUAUGGAUCCAGACAACCUCGGGAAACUGAGGCUAAUCUGGAAUAGGGCUCUCAUCCUGGAGUGGAGAGAGCCUGAAAUGCUCCGGCGCCAUAGGAUGUGGCUGCGGCCGAUUAGGUAGACGGUGGGGUAACGGCCCACCGUGCCAGUAAUCGGUACGGGUUGUGAGAGCAAGAGCCCGGAGACGGUAUCUGAGACAAGAUACCGGGCCCUACGGGGCGCAGCAGGCGCGAAACCUUUACACUGCACGCCAGUGCGAUAAGGGGACUCCAAGUGCGAGGGCAUAUAGUCCUCGCUUUUUGCGACCGUAAGGUGGUCGCGGAAUAAGUGCUGGGCAAGACCGGUGCCAGCCGCCGCGGUAAUACCGGCAGCACGAGUGAUGACCGCUGUUAUUGGGCCUAAAGCGUCCGUAGCUGGCCGCGCAAGUCUAUCGGGAAAUCUCUCCGCUUAACGGAGAGGCGUCCGGUGGAAACUGUGUGGCUUGGGACCGGAAGACCAGAGGGGUACGUCUGGGGUAGGAGUGAAAUCCCGUAAUCCUGGACGGACCACCGGUGGCGAAAGCGCCUCUGGAAGACGGAUCCGACGGUGAGGGACGAAAGCUCGGGUCACGAACCGGAUUAGAUACCCGGGUAGUCCGAGCUGUAAACGAUGUCUGCUAGGUGUGACACAGGCUACGAGCCUGUGUUGUGCCGUAGGGAAGCCGUGAAGCAGACCGCCUGGGAAGUACGUCCGCAAGGAUGAAACUUAAAGGAAUUGGCGGGGGAGCACUACAACCGGAGGAGCCUGCGGUUUAAUUGGACUCAACGCCGGACAUCUCACCAGCAUCGACAAUGUGCAGUGACGGUCAGUGUGAUGAGCUUACCUGAGCCAUUGAGAGGAGGUGCAUGGCCGCCGUCAGCUCGUACCGUGAGCGUCCUGUAAGUCAGGCACGAGCGAGACCGCACCUCCUAUGCCAGCACACCCUGUGGUGUGGGUACAUAGGAGGACUGCCAGUGCCAACUGAGAGACGGGCACGUAGUCAGAAUGGCCGGAUGGCUGGCGAACCGCGGCUACAUGGCAGACUGGAUGCACGCGAGGCACCUAUCUCCGAACGGUGGCUGUAUUUCGAAUUGAGAGCG